ACGGCAGCGACAUCUAGCUUGCUAGAUGGGCGGCGAGUGGCGGACGGGUGAGUAAUGCAUAGGAAUCUGCCCAGUAGUGGGGGACAACCUGGGGAAACUCAGGCUAAUACCGCAUACGACCUACGGGUGAAAGGGGGCUUCGGCUCUCGCUAUUGGAUGAGCCUAUGUCUGAUUAGCUAGUUGGUGGGGUAAAGGCCUACCAAGGCGACGAUUGGUAGCCGAACUGAGAGGUUGAUCGGCCACAUUGGGACUGAGACACGGCCCAGACUCCUACGGGAGGCAGCAGUGGGGAAUAUUGCGCAAUGGGGGAAACCCUGACGCAGCAACGCCGCGUGAAGGAAGAAGGCUUUCGGGUUGUAAACUUCUUUGAUCAGGGAAGAAAAAAAUGACGGUACCUGAAGAACAAGCCACGGCUAACUACGUGCCAGCAGCCGCGGUAAUACGUAGGUGGCGAGCGUUAUCCGGAAUUACUGGGUGUAAAGAGCAUGUAGGCGGAAUUGCAAGUCAGAUGUUAAAUCUUGAGGCUCAACCUCAAGCAGCAUCUGAAACUGUUUUUCUUGAGUACUGGAGAGGAAAGUGGAAUUCCUAGUGUAGCGGUGAAAUGCGUAGAUAUUAGGAGGAACACCAGUGGCGAAGGCGGCUUUCUGGACAGUAACUGACGCUGAGAUGCGAAAGUGUGGGUAGCAAACAGGAUUAGAUACCCUGGUAGUCCACACCGUAAACGAUGGAUACUAGGUGUAGGAGGUAUCGACCCCUUCUGUGCCGGAGUUAACACAUUAAGUAUCCCACCUGGGAAGUACGACCGCAAGGUUGAAACUCAAAGGAAUUGACGGGGACCCGCACAAGCAGUGGAGUAUGUGGUUUAAUUCGAAGCAACGCGAAGAACCUUACCAAGGCUUGACAUCCCUUUGACCGUCCUAGAGAUAGGAUUUCCCUUCGGGGCAAAGGUGACAGGUGGUGCAUGGUUGUCGUCAGCUCGUGUCGUGAGAUGUUGGGUUAAGUCCCGCAACGAGCGCAACCCUUGUCGUUAGUUGCCAUCAGGUAAUGCUGGGCACUUUAGCGAGACUGCCGGUGAUAAACCGGAGGAAGGUGGGGACGACGUCAAAUCGUCAUGCCCCUUAUGUCUUGGGCUACACACGUACUACAAUGGCUAUUACAACGGGAAGCAAUACCGUGAGGUGGAGCAAAACCUAAAAGAUAGUCCCAGUUCAGAUUGUAGGCUGAAACUCGCCUACAUGAAGUUGGAAUUGCUAGUAAUGGCAGGUCAGCAUACUGCCGUGAAUACGUUCCCGGGUCUUGUACACACCGCCCGUCACACCAUGAGAGUUUGUAACACCCGAAGUCAGUGGUUUAACCGUAAGGAGGACGCU
rnacentral:rRNA from 1 species